rnacentral:rRNA from 1 species
UACGUAGGGGGCAAGCGUUGUCCGGAUUUAUUGGGCGUAAAGAGCGUGUAGGCGGCCAGAUAGGUCUGCUGUGAAAACUCGAGGCUUAACCUCGAGAUGUCGGCGGAAACCAUCUGGCUAGAGUCCGGAAGAGGAGAGUGGAAUUCCUGGUGUAGCGGUGAAAUGCGCAGAUAUCAGGAGGAACACCAAUGGCGAAGGCAGCUCGCUGGGACGUUACUGACGCUGAGACGCGAAAGCGUGGGGAGCAAACAGG